rnacentral:rRNA from 1 species
CAAGUCGAACGCGAAAGAGACCUUCGGGUCUCAAGUAGAGUGGCGCCCGGGUGAGUAACACGUAGGUAAUCUACCAUCGGGUGGGGAAUAACGCAGGGAAACUUGCGCUAAUACCGCAUAAUGCAGCGGCACCACAUGGUGACAGUUGUUAAAGCGGGGGAUUUUAGGACCUCGCGCCUGAAGAGGAGCCUGCGGCAGAUUAGCUAGUUGGUAGGGUAACGGCUUACCAAGGCGACGAUCUGUAGCCGGCCUGAGAGGGCGGUCGGCCACACUGACACUGACAUACGGGUCAGACUCCUACGGGAGGCAGCAGUCGGGAAUUUUGGGCAAUGGGCGAAAGCCUGACCCAGCAACGCCGCGUGAAGGAUGAAAUCCUUCGGGAUGUAAACUUCGCAAGAAUGGGAAGAAUUAGCGAGCGCUAACACCGUUCGUGAUGACGGUACCAUUUGUAAGCUCCGGCUAACUCCGUGCCAGCAGCCGCGGUAAUACGGGGGGAGCAAGCGUUGUUCGGAUUUACUGGGCGUAAAGGGCGCGUAGGCGGCCAGCGCAAGUCAGUUGUGAAAUCUCCGGGCUUAACUCGGAAAGGUCAACUGAUACUGCGCGGCUAGAGUGCGGAAGGGGCAACUGGAAUUCUCGGUGUAGCGGUGAAAUGCGUAGAUAUCGAGAGGAACACCUGCGGCGAAGGCGGGUUGCUGGGCCGACACUGACGCUGAUGCGCGAAAGCCAGGGGAGCGAACGGGAUUAGAUACCCCGGUAGUCCUGGCCUUAAACGAUGGAUGCUUGGUGUCUGGAGUUUUAUA